UCUUGUCCUCUAACACACCUCCAAAGAAUGGUUGAAGUGUAUAAAUAUGUAAAUAUGCAUUAUGCACAUAUUGUACACAUGUGUGAAGCUGAAAAAAGUAUACUAAAAUUAUUCAAAGAAAGUGUAUAUUAUUGUGCAUUCUUGAACCUGAAAUUGGGAUGACUACUCAGGCAAUCAUUGAAGCACAAAGAUGAUGACUUUGCUGACUUUUCCAUACAUGCAUUGGAAUGCAAAACGUUUUCCUUAUUAAAUGCAGAAAAGAUGUGUUUCAUGUUGUCUCUAUCAUUUCAGUAUUAUUCAUUUGGAAAUCAAUUUUGGAAUGUUGCUUAUAGGCUUGCAAGCAUUCAAAUACCAUUGAUGGGUGUUUCUUUUACACAGAGAUGUUUCAUUUUUUGUCAGCCUAAAGGUGCAGAGAGUAGGCUGUGUGUGUUUCUACGUGCUUUCAUCAGUGAGGAUAGGAAUGACUUUGCGAGUGCAUUAUUUAUGUUGUAGCAUUAUGUGUGGUGUUAACAUGUCCCCUUAGACUACUGCAUUCUGGUAGAUUCUCUCAGAGAGGGAGGGGUGGAAAAUCCAAAUGUAAGAUGGAGAAUGGGAGACUGGGAGGAGAAAUGGUGAUGGAGAGAGCAGAAACCUAGCAUGGGGUAGGGAUAUGUGGAAAGAUAGAAGAAAAAGAAGUGGGGAAGAGCGAACAUAUGAGAAAGAGGGAAACGUUAGGCAGAGGAAGGCAAAUGUAAGAGAGAAAGCGAGUGUGGUGGGUGGAAAGGGGUCGAGCGAGAGAUGAGGAGGGAAGUAUGAUGCUGCCUUUUUGUGGUAGCACAAAGUGUGGCACCAGCAGCAAGACAGGGAGCGAUGAGAAAGGUAGAAUUAAGCAGGAAAGAGCUUUGACUGAUUUGACUGGGCGAGCUCGUCAGGAUUCCCAAACAGGUAAAACAUCAAAGAAUGCAAAAAUGUCUUUUUCAUCUGCAACAGUUUUGUCAGCAGAGAGCAGGAGGGGAUCUUUACUUCCAUGACAGCAGCAUGAAAGACAAAAAGAAGGAUGUCGUAGAGUAGUCAACGUGCCAAACCCCUAACAAAAAAUUCAUGCUCCAUCCAUUCUCCAUUCCUUCCUUUCUCCCUUCACAUUACUACAUUACUUUUCAGUUCCCAUGUUUGCUUUACUUCUAAUCAUUCUCAAAAUAUUUCCAUUACAUCCACACACAAACUCCCUUCUGUGUCCCCUUCCUUCACUCAGUUAGCAUCUCCUCUGCUGUCACCUCCACAGUCCCUAAAGGCAACUCGCUUUUCCAUCCUUUUCUAAAUCUUCAUCUCUUUCGGCUUGUUUUUUUUUAUUUUGAAACGCAUGUGAGCAUUUGUUGAUCUGAUCCCAUUUGUUAACAGGGAAAAGCUGAGCAAAUUUGCAGUAGAGAGUGAUGAAAAGAGUUUAGUGAGAAGAGUAUCCAUGUAAAGUUAGUCAUUUAUCAGAAGCUAGAAUAAAAAGUCGUAAGUCCUCCCUCUACCGGGUACAAAGUGUGACUCUUUAGAUUUUCUGCCUGACUUUCUGUCUACAGGCUAUACUUCUGCUCGUCUCAGCAGAGUGCAAAGGAAUCCUUCUGGUGCUUGAAAAUAAAAAAUAAUCCUAACCAACACUGACAUGAUUUUGGAAGAAAAGACCACUAAAAACAAAAGGGAACUGAACGACUCAGAGCACAGCAGCUAAAAUACAAGGCAUUCUGCAAACAGAAGAAGAGAGGCAUGGGGACAGAAACAGAAAGUGUGAAGGUAAAACAGAAUGAUGCUCUCAUCAGGCAGGCGAAGGACAAGAAAAUGACAUAACAUGGCAAACAUAGGAGAGAAGGAAAAGUGAAUCAGAGUGCUUUAGGAGAAGGGAUCCAAGAGGUUGAAAACUUAAACAUUCAGUAUGAUUCAAUUCUGGUGAGGGAAGGUUGAGUGACGGAUUGCUGUUAGGCACACUUGAAUAAGGUCAUAUAGUUGAUUCAGCUCCUAAAUAGGGAGCUCUGAUUUACUGUCUCUUCUUACAGGAAUAACCAAACAGAUGGAAGAAGAAGCUUGUUGAGGACUGACCUCAGACACACAUAAAAGCCUAGACAGAAGAAGCCUUCAAAAACAGACCAGUGAUGUCAUGUAAAUGAAAAGGAAAAGGGUCCACAUUUAAGGAAAACGUGAGAUCAAACUGCGAUAAGAUGAACAGUAAAAACUACUAUUUUCAAAUCAAGGGACAUCCAGCAGACACUGCUGGAAAAGUGACAAAAACACACCAAGUACCUCCAAUUAAACACUGAUGCUGAGAGGCCACUUGGGAAAGACAUGAUCAUACGUCAUCCAGCUUAGAAGAAACCAGAUGGACAAUAAUUUGUGCUGUGUUUUCUAAAGAAACAGGAAAACCUCAUUGUACAAUAACCAAAUGCUUACAAGUGGAUGUUCACCCAUAAUAAGACAAGGCUUAAGAAUAAGUCAGAUGUGGGUUCGUAAUGGUUUCCAUGCCAGGCAACAGAGGGAAGUCAAAAGGAGGAAGUGAAUAAAAUUGAGCUGAUGUUUAUCACAAAAACAGUACUGGACUGACAGCCCUGGCUAAGUCUGACAGCAGCUUCACACCACUUCCAGAUCAGAUGAAGCAACACACCCGAGGCCAAUCUUUCAUUUUUUUGUUCUGAAUCGAGUGCAGCUUUUUAUCAUCUCAGAUGACAAUCUUAUUACAGAAAUUGACAUAAAGAGGACAAGCCGAGCUUGCACAUUCGUCCGUACUAGAGAAAAAUGCCCUCUUACGGUUUUUUUCACCCACGAUUGGACAAAUUGUGAAUGUCAUUGAAACACUGAGUUAGCGCUGCUAUAUCCCCAAUUAAAAUGACUGGAUUCCACAGUUGCACAGUCCAGCUCUGUGUGUGUUUGUUUGGUGUAAGGAUGAGGGAGCGAGUGCUGUCACACAGCAGCUUGUGUGAAUGUGAGUGCAGACACAGCUGUAUCUGAGCAUAUCUUUCAGUAACCCCGAGGUCUGUGCGUGCUGUGUGACUUGGAUUUUCCUCACCAUUGACGGGACUCGACUUGAAUACCAGUGGAAGACAAGAGAAGGAAGGAGAAACACGAGAAAGAGAAGUGAAAGACACUUGCAUGAAGGAGCAGAAGAAAAAACAUGGUUGGAUAAAAGAAAAAAGAAUGCAGCAAAGACUUUGGCUGCCCCCCUGGUGCAAUGUGUGGCUUUCAGGGAAUAGAUCUAUAUUGGAAGAUGCAAAAUCUACAGGAUUAGGCACAGCCAUGGACUCUUCAGGUUGCCUCAGAGUGCAUGUUUGAUGUCUGCAAACUGCUGUAAUCUGCAGUUCUCCCUCAGGAGAGAAAGGAAAUCUCGAUGCAACCUGCAUCAGACUUUUUGGGGGUAGGGUUCUGUGAUAGUAACCAUGUUCCCCAGCGGCCAUUAUGUCUGCAGUGCUCACGCAGGAGAUGAUGACUCUACAAAUGAUCAAGAAGAGCGUAUCUUAGCUGUGCUGGGAAUCAUUGGAACCAUUCUGAAUCUUUUAGUGGUUAUUUUUGUCUAUAUCUACACCUCUGUUACCUAAUGUGUUUUAUAAUGUCCUCACACUGCCACCUUCCCUUUUUAGGGAUUUAGUCUUCAAAGUUGCUGUUCUUGGUAAACAGUGAAUCCUUAAGAGUAUUUGUCUGACUGAAGCUGGAAACUACUGCCUCUUUUCUUUUUUCAGUGAUAAAGGAAUAAAAGCACAAGUGGUACUAUUUUUAAACCAUAUUUUGUUGUUUAGUCAGUGAUCCACAUCUAUUUAUCUUUGCUCAAACUUAUCCAUGAGUUUUUCUAAUGCAAUCAUCUUGACCAGCUGCAGUGGAACUUUGUAAAGGUCUAUUUCAUGUUUCAUCCUCUACUUUUGCAACUCUCAAGUUCAUAGCUCCAUUGCUAUUGAGAAAUGGGAGAUCAUAUCUAAAGCAAAUCAACCCAACUGUAAACAAGAAGACUGUAAGUCUAAAUGCACCUGUAAUUCUAGAGAUUAACAAAAGCACAUCUGUUAAAAUCCCCAAUUUUUCAAAUAUUCAUUUAAAAAUAUCCAACAGGUUUUAGAUGGAAGAAAUAUCUAAGAACAGCCAGUUCUGGCUGUGCCAGGAGUCAAGGACAUCACACUAACUCACUGUAGCUUAUCUGUGUAUAUAUAUUAGGGGUGUAAGGAUCAAUCAAUUCAUCAAUUUUCCCAACCUGAGGUUAGCUGUUCAUCAAAUCAAACUAAGUCAUGAGAAAAUAGUUUCUAAAUGAAAUAAACAAAUUUUGGAAAAAAUCAUUUGGAUUGAGACGUGGUAGGGCGGUCGACCCAUGAUCAUAAGAUUGCGGGUUCAAUUCCCGCCUUGCACACUCAUGUGUCAAAGUGUCCUUGGGCAAGACACUGAACCCCACCUUGCCUCUGGUGGUAGGUUGGCUCCAGUCUUCAGCAGUGGAGCCUCCACCAGUGUGUGACUGUGUGAAUAGGUCUGUGACUAUGAAGCGCUUUGGGCAUUGUAGAUAGAAAAGCGCUAUAUAAGUAUAAGCCAUUUACCAAGUGGAUCGGUGAAGUUCAGCAGUCGACACACAUGUGAUGGCAGCAAAAAAUAAUCAAAUCAUCAUUCCAGUCCAAUUUGUGGAAGCACUUUGAAUUUUGUAGAAAGACUUGACCAUACAGUGUGGUAGAUCCAAUCAGAUUGUUCAAAACUAAUGAACCAAUAUUUAAGUUAUGAUAUAAAUCACCUCAUUGUUAAAUGUGUGUGUGUGUGUGUGUGUGUGUGUGUGUAUGCAUGCAUCUGAUCCAUCUAUCAGAUUGAAGUUCUUUUUUGAACCUAUAUUAUAUAUGCACUUAUUGAAUAUGCAACACAUACUUUUAUCUUUCAUUGAUGUUGGUACUUAGAGUGAAAGAGUAAAGUGAUGGAGGUGAAAAAAUCAAGAAAAUUAAAAAUAAAGAAACCUUUAACAACUUCAUUUGGAAAAAGACUUUACAAAAUUAUGUCUGACUUUUUAUGUUAUAUGUGCUUUUCUAAGUGUACAAAUGUCCACCUUGUAUGCCUUCAUUGAAAUGACAGCUGACAAAAGUCAGUGAAAUAAUGCUUCUAUUUUUUCCUGUAAUAAAAUCUGCAAUAAAACCUGCAAUAAUCUCUUA